rnacentral:rRNA from 1 species
UACAGGGGGGGCGAGCGUUGUUCGGAAUUACUGGGCGUAAAGGGUUUGUAGGUGGCUUGCUCAGUCAGACGUGAAAUCCCUCAGCUUAACUGGGGAACUGCGUCUGAUACUAGCGAGCUUGAGUGCAGGAGAGGAACGCGGAAUUCCAGGUGUAGCGGUGAAAUGCGUAGAUAUCUGGAGGAACACCGGUGGCGAAGGCGGCGUUCUGGACUGCAACUGACGCUGAGGAACGAAAGCUAGGGGAGCAAACAGG